rnacentral:piRNA from 1 species
UAGCUUUGCUGAGGUGUCGGGGUGU